CACGGGGCCGCCUGCCGGUUGGAACGGCAGCCCCACGGCGCGGAGGACGAUCAGGCUGGCGCCACAGUGAGCGCGGCAUGGAGGGGCCUGCUUAACUGGGGCCCAUGGCCCUGCGUCUUCUGGCAGCGACGCGGGUCCUGCGCACGCUGCGGGGCCGCAGCCGCCGGGCGGUGGGCGCCCGAGGGGCCGGGAGGCGAGCCGGGGCCCCCAGGCGGGUGUGGGCAUCGUGUCCACAAGCAGCGUCCCCGAGGCCGCGCUCGGGCCAUGAUGACCGGUGAAGCUGCGCUGCGACAGCGCGGCCGACUUCUUCCCUGUGAACAGUAGUGGUCUGGAGGGUUGUUUGUCAAGGUGUUAGGAACUCUACCACUCUUAAGACAGUAAACUUCACGGGGUGUAAUCUGACAUGGCAGGGAGCAGAUAGAUCACAUGGCCAAGAUCUUAAAGUAUCAGACUACCAGAAGGCAUGAAGAAACCUGGGCUGAGAGUCUUCGUUCCAGGAGACCUGAUCUUGACUGUAUGGCUGGUUUGAGGCGCAUCACUCUGAACUGCAACACGCUCAUUGGUGACCUGGGUGCAAGUGCUUUGGCAGAAUCUCUGAGACUCUUCCACACGUGAGAAAAUGAGAGUUGUCUAUA